rnacentral:rRNA from 1 species
AGCGAACGUUUGCGGCGGGCCUAACACAUGCAAGUCGAACGGGCUAGCAAUAGUCAGUGGCGCACGGGUGCGUAACACGUGGGUAAUCAACCCUUCAGCUCGGGAUAACGCCUUGAAAGGGGCGCUAAUACCGGAUACGACGCGAGGAGCUUCGGCUGCUUGCGGGAAAGAUUCGCAAGGAUCUCUGAAGGACGAGCCUGCGGCCCAUCAGCUAGUUGGUGAGGUAAGAGCUCACCAAGGCGAAGACGGGUAGCUGGUCUGAGAGGAUGAUCAGCCACACUGGAACUGAGACACGGUCCAGACUCCUACGGGAGGCAGCAGUGGGGAAUAUUGCGCAAUGGGCGAAAGCCUGACGCAGCCACGCCGCGUGAGCGAUGAAGGCCUCGGUCGUAAG